CUUGUGACAUCUCUAGCUCAGACACAGGGUCAUGGAGGAGACAAGAUCUAACCAGGAGAAAAGAACAAAGAACCUCAUCUAAAAAAAAAAAAAAGAAAAUGUCCAUUUCAUCAUUUUUUCCAGGCUAACCUCUAGGUCUAUUUGAUGCAUUUCCUUGGCCCGUCCAUCUGUGUUCCCUGUCUGGGGUAUGUUUUCAGGCCUCUGAGGAUACAUUUCACCCUGGAAGUGGACACAAGCAAUCAGAGUUCAAGAUGUGGUGGAUUCUGAGGAUGCAGGGAUGAACAAGACACAAUCCCUGCUUCCAGGACUUGCACACGGUUGAUGGACAAGGAAGGAGGCCACUGAGUGAGAGGGGAGACUGCAGAUCCAUUCUACAUAUACCCACCUCUGCUUUGGAAGCAGAACUGAAGCAUGCUGCUGUGAAUUUUAUAAACAAUUCGCCAAGGUGUACACGGUUGUCACCUAUGGACCUUGUGCUGACAUAAAUUGGGGCUCUACACGUGGCAUCUUUCACUUCAGUGUAGUGUGAAAUAUGCCCUGUUGGGACACUGAUGGAAUAUAGUACCCGAUUUUAACUAAACUAACUCUCAGAAAAUGAACACUUGGCUUUAAAAGUUUCCUGCCAAGAAAUAGCAGUUGGAAGAUUUAUGCAGACAGACAAUGUGGAAAUGGCCCAGCUGACCAUGAGCCCAGCACGUAAAUGGGCUCUGGGUCAGCCACGCUGCGAGGUGCAGCAGUGGUGAUCUGAUCACUUCUGACGAGACGUCAGCCAAAUGAAAAACAUGGAAACGAUGAUUCUUUGAAAUACAUGUUUAUAUCCACUGUCAUUAAUCUGCCUCAAAUGUUAGGCUGCAUGUGAGUAGGAAGUCACCAUGAGUAGCAGAAUGUCCAAAAAGUAAGCAUUCAGA